AUAAUGGGUCAGCGACUUAUAUUCUGUAGCAAGGUUAACCGAAUAGGGGAGCCGAAGGGAAACCGAGUCUUAACUGGGCGUUAAGUUGCAGGGUAUAGACCCGAAACCCGGUGAUCUAGCCAUGGGCAGGUUGAAGGUUGGGUAACACUAACUGGAGGACCGAACCGACUAAUGUUGAAAAAUUAGCGGAUGACUUGUGGCUGGGGGUGAAAGGCCAAUCAAACCGGGAGAUAGCUGGUUCUCCCCGAAAGCUAUUUAGGUAGCGCCUCGUGAAUUCAUCUCCGGGGGUAGAGCACUGUUUCGGCAAGGGGGUCAUCCCGACUUACCAACCCGAUGCAAACUGCGAAUACCGGAGAAUGUUAUCACGGGAGACACACGGCGGGUGCUAACGUCCGUCGUGAAGAGGGAAACAACCCAGACCGCCAGCUAAGGUCCCAAAGUCAUGGUUAAGUGGGAAACGAUGUGGGAAGGCCCAGACAGCCAGGAUGUUGGCUUAGAAGCAGCCAUCAUUUAAAGAAAGCGUAAUAGCUCACUGGUCGAGUCGGCCUGCGCGGAAGAUGUAACGGGGCUAAACCAUGCACCGAAGCUGCGGCAGCGACGCUGAUGCGUUGUUGGGUAGGGGAGCGUUCUGUAAGCCUGUGAAGGUGUGCUGUGAGGCAUGCUGGAGGUAUCAGAAGUGCGAAUGCUGACAUAAGUAACGAUAAAGCGGGUGAAAAGCCCGCUCGCCGGAAGACCAAGGGUUCCUGUCCAACGUUAAUCGGGGCAGGGUGAGUCGACCCCUAAGGCGAGGCCGAAAGGCGUAGUCGAUGGGAAACAGGUUAAUAUUCCUGUACUUGGUGUUACUGCGAAGGGGGGACGGAGAAGGCUAUGUUGGCCGGGCGACGGUUGUCCCGGUUUAAGCGUGUAGGCUGGUUUUCCAGGCAAAUCCGGAAAAUCAAGGCUGAGGCGUGAUGACGAGGCACUACGGUGCUGAAGCAACAAAUGCCCUGCUUCCAGGAAAAGCCUCUAAGCAUCAGGUAACAUCAAAUCGUACCCCAAACCGACACAGGUGGUCAGGUAGAGAAUACCAAGGCGCUUGAGAGAACUCGGGUGAAGGAACUAGGCAAAAUGGUGCCGUAACUUCGGGAGAAGGCACGCUGAUAUGUAGGUGAAGUCCCUCGCGGAUGGAGCUGAAAUCAGUCGAAGAUACCAGCUGGCUGCAACUGUUUAUUAAAAACACAGCACUGUGCAAACACGAAAGUGGACGUAUACGGUGUGACGCCUGCCCGGUGCCGGAAGGUUAAUUGAUGGGGUCAGCGCAAGCGAAGCUCUUGAUCGAAGCCCCGGUAAACGGCGGCCGUAACUAUAACGGUCCUAAGGUAGCGAAAUUCCUUGUCGGGUAAGUUCCGACCUGCACGAAUGGCGUAAUGAUGGCCAGGCUGUCUCCACCCGAGACUCAGUGAAAUUGAACUCGCUGUGAAGAUGCAGUGUACCCGCGGCAAGACGGAAAGACCCCGUGAACCUUUACUAUAGCUUGACACUGAACAUUGAGCCUUGAUGUGUAGGAUAGGUGGGAGGCUUUGAAGUGUGGACGCCAGUCUGCAUGGAGCCGGCCUUGAAAUACCACCCUUUAAUGUUUGAUGUUCUA
rnacentral:rRNA from 1 species